rnacentral:rRNA from 1 species
GGAAUAUUGGACAAUGGGCGCAAGCCUGAUCCAGCCAUGCCGCGUGCAGGAUGACUGCCCUAUGGGUUGUAAACUGCUUUUAUCAGGGAAGAAACCCCCGUACGUGCUACGGGGUUGACGGUACCUGAGGCAUAAGCACCGGCUAACUCCGUGCCAGCAGCCGCGGUAAUACGGAGGGUGCAAGCGUUAUCCGGAAUCACUGGGUUUAAAGGGUGCGUAGGCGGCGUCGUAAGUCAGGAGUGAAAGCCCCCCGCUCAACGGGGGAGGUGCUUUUGAUACUGCGGUGCUUGAAUCGGGAUGAGGUCAGCGGAAUGUGGCAUGUAGCGGUGAAAUGCAUAGAUAUGCCAUAGAACACCGAUUGCGAAGGCAGCUGACUGGACCUGUAUUGACGCUGAGGCACGAAAGCGUGGGGAGCGAAC